UACAGGGGGUGCAAACGUUGCUCGGAAUUAUUGGGCGUAAAGCGCGCGUAGGCGGCUACUUAAGUCGGAUGUGAAAGCCCUUGGCUCAACUGAGGAAGUGCACCCGAAACUGAGUGGCUAGAGUACGAAAGAGGGUCGCGGAAUUCCCGGUGUAGAGGUGAAAUUCGUAGAUAUUGGGAAGAACACCGAUGGCGAAGGCAGCCAUCUGGACCGACACUGACGCUGAGGCGCGAAAGCGUGGGGAGCAAACAGG
rnacentral:rRNA from 1 species